rnacentral:rRNA from 1 species
GACGGAGGGUGCAAGCGUUAUCCGGAAUUAUUGGGCGUAAAGCGUCCGCAGGUGGCAUGUCAAGUCUGCUGUCAAAGACCGGGGCUUAACUUCGGAAAGGCAGUGGAAACUGAACAGCUAGAGUAUGGUAGGGGCAGAGGGAAUUCCUGGUGUAGCGGUGAAAUGCGUAGAUAUCAGGAAGAACAUCGGUGGCGAAGGCGCUCUGCUGGACCAUAACUGACACUCAGGGACGAAAGCUAGGGGAGCGAAUGGG